GGUUGCGAUCAUACCAGCACUAAUGCACCGGAUCCCAUCAGAACUCCGCAGUUAAGCGUGCUUGGGCGAGAGUAGUACUAGGAUAGGUGACCCCCUGGGAAGUCCUCGUGUUGCAACCC
rnacentral:rRNA from 1 species